CAUUCUCUUCGGAGCAUUGGAGACAGGUGGUGCAUGGUUGUCGUCAGCUCGUGUCGUGAGAUGUUGGGUUAAGUCCCGCAACGAGCGCAACCCUUAUCCUUAGUAGCCAGCAGGUAAAGCUGGGCACUCUAGGGAGACUGCCGGGGAUAACCCGGAGGAAGGCGGGGAUGACGUCAAAUCAUCAUGCCCCUUAUGAUUUGGGCUACACACGUGCUACAAUGGCGUAAACAAAGGGAAGCGAGACAGUGAUGUUGAGCAAAUCCCAGAAAUAACGUCUCAGUUCGGAUUGUAGUCUGCAACUCGACUACAUGAAGCUGGAAUCGCUAGUAAUCGCGAAUCAGCAUGUCGCGGUGAAUACGUUCCCGGGUG
rnacentral:rRNA from 1 species